rnacentral:tRNA from 1 species
AGGAAUAGUUCAGUGGUAGAACGUCGGUCUCCAAAACCGAUAACGGGGGUUCGAGUCCCUCUUCCUC